rnacentral:snRNA from 1 species
UAAUGUAAGGGCCUGGUCUA